AUGGCGCCCGAGACCUCCUUGCAGCACCUCCUCGCCGACCCGCCUCGAUGCCGUGGAUCCGAACGCCCAGCGCCGCUCGGCGUCGUCCGCCAAGAUUCUGCGCCCCGCCGAGCUCCCUGCCGCGCCGGAGUCACGCCGUUUUCCCUUCCCCGCAUCGCCGCCAAGUCCUCGUCGCCGGAGUCUUGCACGUCGUCGUACCUCUUGACCGGUCGCGCUGCUGCGUUUUCUUUUCGAGGGAGACGAGCGCCACGUUCUGAAGCCCACGUUCCUUCGUUGACCACGCACUCCCCUGCAUCGUCGCUUGGACCUCCUCUGCUCCGGCCCAGCGCGCCGCUAGAGCAGGCCAAGGCCCAGCUCCCUCUUCGCCCCAGCCACGCACAGGCCUCAAGGCCCAAUGUGAGCAGCACCCUGGCUUUUCCUCUAUUGGGCUAG
rnacentral:rRNA from 1 species